GACGAACGCUGGCGGCGUGCUUAACACAUGCAAGUCGAACGCUGAAGCUUGGUGCUUGCACUGGGUGGAUGAGUGGCGAACGGGUGAGUAAUACGUGAGUAACCUGCCCUUGACUCUGGGAUAAGCCUGGGAAACUGGGUCUAAUACUGGAUAUGACAUGCCACUGCAUGGUGGUGUGUGGAAAGGGUUUUACUGGUUUUGGAUGGGCUCACGGCCUAUCAGCUUGUUGGUGGGGUAAUGGCCUACCAAGGCGACGACGGGUAGCCGGCCUGAGAGGGUGACCGGCCACACUGGGACUGAGACACGGCCCAGACUCCUACGGGAGGCAGCAGUGGGGAAUAUUGCACAAUGGGCGGAAGCCUGAUGCAGCGACGCCGCGUGAGGGAUGACGGCCUUCGGGUUGUAAACCUCUUUCAGCACGGAAGAAGCGAGAGUGACGGUACGUGCAGAAGAAGCGCUGGCUAACUACGUG
rnacentral:rRNA from 1 species